UACGUAGGGUGCAAGCGUUAAUCGGAAUUACUGGGCGUAAAGCGUGCGUAGGUGGUUGAUUAAGUUAUCUGUGAAAUCCCUGGGCUUAACCUGGGCAGGUCAGAUGAUACUGAUUGACUCGAGUAUGGGAGAGGGUAGUGGAAUUUCCGGUGUAGCGGUGAAAUGCGUAGAGAUCGGAAGGAACACCAGUGGCGAAGGCGGCUACCUGGCCUAAUACUGACACUGAGGCACGAAAGCGUGGGGAGCAAACAGG
rnacentral:rRNA from 1 species